rnacentral:lncRNA from 1 species
UCCAGUUAGUUUGAAGAUCGUUGUUUUGUAAUUGGAAACAUUUUUUUGUUGGUUUUUAUAACUUUAAUUGUUUUUUUUAAUUGAUAGUUUUGUUAUAAUUGUAAUAUACAAAUCAAAUCCUUCGGUCACGUUUCAGACCCGAAAUAUGGCACACAUUCACAGUCCUGUUAAACUAUGCCCAUCAAGCCCGAAACGAAGUAAGAAUGAAAUACAAUGGAAUAAAUGUGUUAUAUGUCAG